rnacentral:rRNA from 1 species
UACGAAGGAUGCGAGCGUUAUCCGGAUUUAUUGGGUUUAAAGGGAGCGUAGGCGGUCUUAUAAGUCAGUGGUGAAAUCUCGUUGCUUAACAACGAACGUGCCAUUGAUACUGUAGGACUUGAGUACAGUUGCCGUUUGGCGGAAUGUGUCAUGUAGCGGUGAAAUGCAUAGAUAUGACACAGAACACCGAUUGCGAAGGCAGCUGACGAAACUGUAACUGACGCUGAGGCUCGAAAGCGUGGGGAUCAAACAGG